UUCAUCCCCCUUCUCUCCCCCCUGGCCCAGCCUGUCUCUCACCCACUGACUCCUCAAUCUACAUCUUCACUGACUGCCUAUCUUGUAUGCAUACCAGCCUAGCCUCUGGCUUCUUUACUUUUCAUUCCAUCCAGGAGGAGCACACACCAACUGCUGAAACUUCCUUAGCCUGACAAAGGGUUUUUGAACUCGAAAGCGUGCUUAAAAAUUGUUUUCCAACUAUUUAAGUUGGUCUAAUAAAAGAUAUCAGAUUCACCCAAAGAACUUUGUCUACCUAGAAGAGAUAACGAUUGUUAACAGCUGUGUAAAGAGAAAUCAGUGCACAGAAUUUCUUUAAGUUACUCCUUUUUUUCUGCUCAGAGUAAGCUUAUCAGAGGCAUGUUUUGUUUUUCUCUGCAGAGGCACAGUUUGAAGGCUUCUAUUUUAAGAUACAAAUGUGCAUGUAUGCAGAGACAAUAUUGCAGUAACCUUUGAAAUUGGAGCUAAGAUUUGAAGUUGCAUGAAUGAAACAAAGACACUUUGAACCUUCCUAUUGAUUCAGCUAUGGAAAAACACUGCAACUUCAAGAAAAGCAGGAGAGGCAAAAUAAAAUAAGAGGCAGAGAAGCACAGAACAAGAACAACAGUAAUAAGGCUACUGCUACUCAAGAGAAAGAAUGUUUGUCAAGGACCUCACCAGACAUACCACAAAAAUAAGGUACAACCGUAAUUCUACCCACUAAGCAAAAUAUAAGAGCUUUAAGCUUUGCAGCCUACUUCCUCAGGCAUAGCUAAAGACAGUAUCUUUCUUGUGAACUUUCCAAAGUUAUGAACAAAGCCAACUAAACGUAGCAAAUGUAGCAAAUGGAAAGAUUGCAUUAUUAAAAGGAGAGGAAGGGAGAGGAUGAUGCACAAUUUCUUCCCUCUCCUUCCCCAAUGGCCAGGGAAAUCAAGGAUCUACCAACCACUCUGCGAAGAGUGAGGAUGGCAACAGUAGGGUGAAUGCCCUGGCUGGACUAUGUACUCAAGGCCAUUGCUCUGAAGACUUUCUUGUGCGGGGAUGGAGAAGCACCAUUGUUGGGACUGCUGCCAGAUUCUGUUUCUACCGAUGGAUGACUGGAAGCUUUUCCCUUUGGAAAAUAUCCUAAAGUGGGGAGCAGUGCAAAACUUCUAUUGGAGGAGUGCAAAUUAACUCUUUCACCUGCCUGCUGUUGCUGUCUGAAGGGAAGCAGGUGUCACUGCACAGGAAGAGGAAUACUGUUUGAGGGCAUUUAGGCUUUUGGCUAAAUAUGAAGACUCCAUGGCUAUGGAUGCUGUUUCUGAUUCCUAUAGUUGCAAGGCAAUGGCAGGAGCCCUUCCUUUCCCUUUUUCUCAGUGUCCCACCUAUAUGAACAAUGGCCUUUCUUUACAAAGCAUUGUCUAUGUCGUAUGCAGGCUAGUUAGUCAUGCUCGUUAGAUUCUGCCCUGUUAAAAGGCAAGCAGAUAAUCACAGAAGGGACCUGUGAAGGUUCACAAAAGUUUAAGCUUCCACUCAUCAAUUUUUAUCUGUGCAAAACCAAGCACUUUUGAUUUGCUGGGACUUGUGAGGACAUUCCUUUUGUCUUAAUUAUAGCCUCCAAGUGUCAUUUUGAAUGUUGGGUUCAAACAAAUCCAAAACCACAAAGCUUAAUUGAAAGUUCCAAGUUUCAGAUACUCAUGCAUCAAAAAUACAUGACACCAUUCAUUUUGUAUCAGUUCUAACAUGAAAAUCCUUGGUUGAGAUUUGCUUAAAAGUAUUCUAGAAAUGACCAUGUUAUACACUGGAAGAAAGAAAGAAGGAAAGAACAUCUUGACUUUCUGAAGUUCAGCCAUGACUGCUUAACAAUUGACUGUAACUGCUGAGGUAGGGGUGGAAGGAACUUCAAGAGGUCAUCUAGUCCAACCCCUUGCCCAAGGAAGGAUCAGCCCUAUGCAAAUCAUCCUAUAAAACCAUAUUCUAAACUCUACAUAAGACUACCAUCAACCCUGACACAACAUAAACCUAACACCCUAACCUACUAUAUGUAAAGCGGCGUAACCAUGGCAGCCAAUGUCCUGCUUCUAUAAAAUAUUGUCACUAUACCUCUUCUUGAACACCUCCACUGACGGAGAAUCGACAACUUCCUUAAGCUGUCUGCUGCACUGCCUCACUAUUCUAACAGUGAAGAAGUUUUUUUUACUGGACAUCCAAUCUAAAUGUACUUUGCUGCAAUUUCAAGCCAUUGGUCCAUAUCCUCCUCUCUGCAGGAAGAGACAAAGGGUGUGUUCCCUAUUCUUUAUGGAAGUCCUUCGCAUAUUAAAAGACGGGCUAUCAUGUCCCCUCUUAUGUGCCUUUUCUGCAAACUGAACAUGCCUAGUUACUUCAGCCUGUCCUCACAUGAUUUGCCUUCCAAGUCCUUGAUCAUUUUUGAUAACCACCUCUGGACCCUUUCUAACUUCUCCAUGUACUUUUCAAAAUUAUACACAACACUCCAAAUAAAGCCUAACCAAUAACCUGAGUAGAGAGGCACAAUUGCCCCUUGUGUCUUGCACCUAAUGCUUCUAUUGAUGCAUCCCAAAACAUUGCCUUUUGCGCAGCUGCAUCACACUGCAGACUCAUAUUGAGUCUGUGGUCUACCAAGACUACCAAGUACUUUUUCGGACAGCUGCCUCCAGUCAGGUGUCCACCAUUUUGUAUUUGUGAUUUUGAUUAUUCCUCCUGAGGGGUAGCACUUGCAUUUGUCUGCACUGAAUGUCAUCCAUUAGCUCUAGUCCAACUUUCCAAUCUGUCGAGAUUCUUCUGAAUUGCUCUCACAUCCUCCAACAUGUUCACAAUAUUUCCAAAUUUCAUGUCAUCCACAGAAGACUUGAUCAAAAAGAUUUCUAUGCCAGCAUCUACAUCAUUAAUAAACAUGCUGAACAGCACCAGGCCCAGGAUAGACUCCUUUGGGACUCCACUCAAAACUUCCUGCCAUUUUGACAUGGAUCCAUUUAUAAUUACCCUUUGCUUGUGGCUAUUGAGCCCAUUGUCUACCCACCUGGUAGUAGUUUUGUCCAGCCCAUAUUUCUCCAAUUUGUUUAUGAGAAGGUCAUGCAGGACCUUGUCAAAAGCCUUGCUGAAGUCCAGAUACACUAUAUCCACAGCACUCCCUUCAUCCAGCCAAAAAGUUGCUUUGUCAAAGUAAGAGAUCAGGUUUGUUUAACCUGAUUUGCUUUUCAUAAAUCCAUGCUGGCUGCUUGUGAUCGGUCUUUCCUCCUCCAAGUGCUUGCAAAUGGACUUUCUUAGGGUAGGCUCCAGUAACUUCCCAUGUAUUGAGGUGAGACUAACUGGUCUGUAGUUCCCUGGGUACUCCUUCUUGAUUUUUUUAGGAGGAGCACUACACUGACCCUUUUCCACUCCUCUGGUACUUGGCCUGUCUCCCAGGACUCCAUAAAGAUCAUUGCUAAGGGUCCCAAGGUCUCCUCUGCCACUUCCUUCAGGACACAUUUUAUUCCCCUGGACAAAUAUUAACAUUAGGAAACCACCACCAAAAACAGUUUCUUGUUGACAGUCUUGGGAGUAAGGGGGCAUGAGUCCUCCUUUAUCUCCUCCCAGGUGGACUUUCCAAUGCAGGAUAAAGGCAUUUUGUUCAAACUGGGGUAGGGGUGCUUGCACUCUUGAGUCCCAGUGAAUCAGACUUUGGUUUCAGAACUGGAGCCCCCAAACCUUUCAUCAAAAUUGAAUGAGCUUCUAGGACAGGGGUAGGCAACAUUUUGCGGCAAAGAAACACCUUCAACCUCAACUCGUAAGAUGUUAGUGUGUCAUGGGCAUAUGGUAUGGGAACCAUGAGGGGUCCAAUCCUUGUUGUGGCAGCACAGACCUAGCCCCUUCCCUGACAUCUACCCAGAGACAUGCGUGAAAAGCAAAAUGCCUUCACGUGCCACACUCUGGCACCUGUGCCAGGGGUUGCCUAUCCCUGUUCUAGGGCCUGAUUCUCAACUUGGGCACAUUGCACCGCUCUCUUGACCUCCUGAGCACUUACAACAGUAUUUUUCAAACUGGAACAAAUGAUUUCCUGGACUAGAUGGCAAACAUCACAAGCAUCCAUAAGAGGAAGGAAUGGUAAGAGAGAUGAAGAGAAAAGGGAAAUAAAAAUGGAGGAAAAGGACGACAAGAAAAAAUAAAGAACAACUCUACAGUAUGUCUCAGGCUGCUGGAGAGUUUGCAGUGUGGGUUGAGUCAGUGGUUCCCAACAUUUUUUAUAGUGCAGACCAGCAAACUCACUCAAAUAUUUUUGGCAGGUGAUCUAAUUUACAUAUUUACAUUUGUAAAUAUUUGAAUAUGUAAAUUGUAAAUGUUUUAAUUAAACCUAGGUGCGGGUUGGGGCACUUCAGUUGUGGACACUCGGGGACCUGCAGGGGAGGGGGCUGCACAGGUAGUGGCCCAUGGGGACCAGCUGGGGCUGCCCAGGAAGAAGGGGCUUUGCUGCCUUCCAUAAGAGCAAGCAGCAGAGCUGCCUCCCCUCCCUCCACCCUGUGCAUUUCCCCACCCAUAUCCUCCUGCUCCCAGCCAUGGGGAGGGUUGGGGGGUCUUGCCUGGCACAGCAUGGGCCUCAGUACCUGCUGAGUAGGCAGCACCUUGUCGGGAGCAGCUAUGGUGGCAGGAGUGGGACAGGGUGCACAGAGCCAGCUUCCUCCCUCCCAAGACUGCCCCUGCACCCAGCCUUAGCCCCAUAUGUGACUGCUGGUGGCAGAAGCCACUUGCCUGGGUGGGCAGAUGAAGGUCUGAGUGGGGGGCAUACCAUCACCCAGCAGCCAACCCUUCACAGCCUGGUGGUUGGGAACCUCUGGGUUAAGUAACAGGGCAUGGAACCAAACAGGUAUGUAUGUAACAGCAGAAUCAGCUCAAAAAGGUACUUGGAAAUAUUUGAGAACCACUAAUUUACCCAGGCUGAGGUUGUGAGCAUGCCAGUCUUCUCUAGCUUUCAAUGGAAAAUGGUGACACACCAUCAUCUUGGCUUACCCUUCCAUGCAGAACUCUUCCAUGAAUUUUCUCUUUACCUGCACAGAACUUCCAUCACCAAUUUACUCCAUGGUGUGGAUGACAGGCCAAAUAAACUCUGUCCUAAGAUAAAUGUGCUCUGCUAAUUUUCAUUUGCUUUGUCUUGCAGACCAGAGACAGAAUUACUAAAUAGGCCUACCUUCAGGGAAAUAUAAGCCUUCCCAUGCCUCUAACUUAUCACCAUGGUAAUAAUCAAUAUUUUGAUGACCUUAGACCCCUGCAAGGAUCCAAAAAUAUUGCCUGAUAGAUCAUCUGGCACAGUCCCAGCAACUAAAUAACAUUUUGAUUAAAAUGUAACAUACAAUUCUGCCUCCUUCACUGUAAAUCUUCUUGAUUUGUAACAAUAUUAAAUGGUAAAAUGAACUGUCAGUGAACAAAUGAAAUAUUUCUACUACCACAAAUUGCACCAACUUACUGAGGCUCAGUCUGUGUUGAUGGGAUGUCAGACACCAAUGUUGGUGAAUAAUGUAUCAUGGCAAGUUUCCAAGUAGGAGAUUUUGAAUCACUUAUGUAGAUAAAUAAAGAAAAAAUCAGGCUGGAGGGGAAGCAGCUGGUUGUUGCUGCUUAUGCUUUUAAAGAACCAUUUCAUUCCCUGUUUCUUUAAACUGCUCAUUUCUUUGCAGUUUCUUAGCCUCAACAACACACUUUUAUUUUCAGAUGGCAAGCCAGCACCCCCUUCACCCUGAACAGUACUAAACUUAUCAUCUAUAUCAACCCCAUCUUUGUGUCUCAUCUGUGAGUCAGUACUGAAGCGUUCUGUUAGAGUAGACCACAGCUAGUUUCCUUAUUUAAAAAAAGACAUGGAAUUGAGGCAUUGGCUUCCUCUGGCUAUAGUCCUGAGUGCCUAUAUAUAUUUCUAACCAGUGUUGACAUGUAGAGGGUAGGCCCGUGUAAAGUGGCUAGUAUUUGCUCAGAUUCGGCUGAUUUGGUGGACAGUGAUUUGAUUCGGUGAUUUGAAUCACUGUCCUGAAUAGAUUUGGACAAAUCUGAUUCAGAGAUUCAGCUGCUGCUGAAUCAGAAGAAUCUCUGAAUCACACAGGCCCCAUCCCCACCCACUCUCCCAGCCCCAGCAAUGGCUGCCCCUCCUGGCCCCAGCUCCCAGCACUUUGAAAAAAUAAAGAUCCCACUCACCAGCUGCUGCCUGUCGGGGGGCGGUGUUCCCCAUUGUCCCCCUACUGUCCCAUGCUUCAUGGUAGGCUCUGUCACAAGCCUCCCAGCCCACACCACUCCCACUUUCCCAGCCCCACAAUGGAUGCCCCACCCACCCCAGCUCCAGCCCCUUAAGAAAAAAAAAACAAAGAAACCCCAGCCUCACCAGUUCGUACCCGGCAGAGGGCCAUCCCUGCUGCCCCCCACUGCCCCACACUGUAUGGGGGGCUCUGCAUGAGCCCCCAGAAGCCCUGAGGCCACUGCAGCAGCUGGUCUAGUGCUUCAUCAAGUUACACUGAGUUAAUUAUCCAGUUCUGCAGCAGGGAGAUUGAAUACAUCAGGAAGAAGGGAAAGGCUGGUUCAGAAGGUGGGCACUUACCCAGACAUCAGGAGAUCUGUAUUCAAGGCUACUGUUCUAUAAGUGACUAGUGUUGGGCUCAGUGAAAACUUCUCAAACCUGCUUCAGGCUCAUCUUUAAAGGCCAAUUCAGUAAUUUUGGACUGGAGAGGACCAGGACCAGGACGAAUGGAUAUAAACUCCUGGAAGGCCACUUCAGGCUUAAUACCAGGACAAACUCCUUCACAGUCAGGGUGUCCAGACUGUGGAAUAAACUCCCUCCAGAAGUGGUGCAGUCACCUACCCUGGUGGUUUUCAAGAGAAGACUGGACUGUCACCUUCCUGGGGUCACCUAACCCCAGUUGUCUUCCUGCCUAGAGCAGGUGGGAGGGGGAGGUGGACCUGAUGAUCUGCAAGGGCCUUUCUAGCCCCUUACAAUCUAUGAAUCUAUGACCACCUCGCAAUGCCCCGCCCCCGGGCCAUUACCUUAAGAUUCCUCAACAGAACCUGUAAAACCAGUUGAGUGACUCUGGCCAGUCCCUGGAGUGCCGACCCCCUUUGAAUUGAUUCAUCACCAUUAGUAGUGCUCCAAUUAGGCUGCUUUUUGACUGGGGCCCUGUGAUGAGGUCAAGUUAUUUAAGGUUCAGGCCACCUGGGCUGGGGAGUUCUUUCUUUGUUUUUGCCCUGGAGAAGCGAGGGGGAAUGCUGGAAUCCUGGAUGGAACCUGAGGCCAGGUGAUACAGAGCCAGGGUUUUUCAAGUACCAUAGCCCUGUGGGGUUUGGAUUAGGAGUCCAGGGCAGGAACUGGUAGCUCACCCCCACAGCCACUCAGGCAGGAGCUGAGAUCAGCAUGUCACAGCAGCUCAGCAGAGUCGCAUUAAUGGGGAAUCCAGGGCAGGAGCAGAGAUUGGUGCUCCCCAGAAGCUCAGCAGAGCUACAUCAACUCACCAGAGGGCCCUUCGCACCGCAGAGGAAACUGGUACCCCCAGCGGAUGGUGACAGCAAGGGAGACAACAUACCCAAAUCCCCAGGGACUAACCUCUUUUGGGUCAAGACUCCCCCACUCUUGGACUGCCAAGCCUGAGGUUGAAGGCUCCCCAAAAGGGGUAUGGUUGAUACAUGGUAUACUUUGAACCAGGACUGUUUCUAUUUUGCUAGACCAUAUGUUGUGUGCUGGUUUUUGUCUGUAAUAAAUCAGGGGGUUGUGUUCAGACUGCUUGCGAGGGAAGGGUGGUUGGUUUUAUUGGACGCCCUACUGAUUUAUUUAGUGUUUCCCAGGUAGACUUGGUGGGGGCUCGAGCCAAGGUAAAAUAUAUUUAGUACCCCAA